rnacentral:rRNA from 1 species
UACGAAGGGGGCUAGCGUUGCUCGGAAUGACUGGGCGUAAAGGGCGCGUAGGCGGUUUGGACAGUCAGAUGUGAAAUUCCUGGGCUCAACCUGGGGGCUGCAUUUGAUACGUUCGGACUAGAGUGGGGAAGAGGGGUCGUGGAAUUCCCAGUGUAGAGGUGAAAUUCGUAGAUAUUGGGAAGAACACCGGUGGCGAAGGCGGCGACCUGGUCCUUGACUGACGCUGAGGCGCGAAAGCGUGGGGAGCAAACAGG